rnacentral:rRNA from 1 species
AAAUUGAAGAGUUUGAUCAUGGCUCAGAUUGAACGCUGGCGGCAGGCCUAACACAUGCAAGUCGAACGGUAACAGGAAACAGCUUGCUGUUUCGCUGACGAGUGGCGGACGGGUGAGUAAUGUCUGGGAAACUGCCUGAUGGAGGGGGAUAACUACUGGAAACGGUAGCUAAUACCGCAUAACGUCGCAAGACCAAAGAGGGGGACCUUCGGGCCUCUUGCCAUCGGAUGUGCCCAGAUGGGAUUAGCUUGUUGGUGGGGUAAAGGCUCACCAAGGCGACGAUCCCUAGCUGGUCUGAGAGGAUGACCAGCCACACUGGAACUGAGACACGGUCCAGACUCCUACGGGAGGCAGCAGUGGGGAAUAUUGCACAAUGGGCGCAAGCCUGAUGCAGCCAUGCCGCGUGUAUGAAGAAGGCCUUCGGGUUGUAAAGUACUUUCAGCGGGGAGGAAGGGAGUAAAGUUAAUACCUUUGCUCAUUGACGUUACCCGCAGAAGAAGCACCGGCUAACUCCGUGCCAGCAGCCGCGGUAAUACGGAGGGUGCAAGCGUUAAUCGGAAUUACUGGGCGUAAAGCGCACGCAGGCGGUUUGUUAAGUCAGAUGUGAAAUCCCCGGGCUCAACCUGGGAACUGCAUCUGAUACUGGCAAGCUUGAGUCUCGUAGAGGGGGGUAGAAUUCCAGGUGUAGCGGUGAAAUGCGUAGAGAUCUGGAGGAAUACCGGUGGCGAAGGCGGCCCCCUGGACGAAGACUGACGCUCAGGUGCGAAAGCGUGGGGAGCAAACAGGAUUAGAUACCCUGGUAGUCCACGCCGUAAACGAUGUCGACUUGGAGGUUGUGCCCUUGAGGCGUGGCUUCCGGAGCUAACGCGUUAAGUCGACCGCCUGGGGAGUACGGCCGCAAGGUUAAAACUCAAAUGAAUUGACGGGGGCCCGCACAAGCGGUGGAGCAUGUGGUUUAAUUCGAUGCAACGCGAAGAACCUUACCUGGUCUUGACAUCCACGGAAGUUUUCAGAGAUGAGAAUGUGCCUUCGGGAACCGUGAGACAGGUGCUGCAUGGCUGUCGUCAGCUCGUGUUGUGAAAUGUUGGGUUAAGUCCCGCAACGAGCGCAACCCUUAUCCUUUGUUGCCAGCGGUCCGGCCGGGAACUCAAAGGAGACUGCCAGUGAUAAACUGGAGGAAGGUGGGGAUGACGUCAAGUCAUCAUGGCCCUUACGACCAGGGCUACACACGUGCUACAAUGGCGCAUACAAAGAGAAGCGACCUCGCGAGAGCAAGCGGACCUCAUAAAGUGCGUCGUAGUCCGGAUUGGAGUCUGCAACUCGACUCCAUGAAGUCGGAAUCGCUAGUAAUCGUGGAUCAGAAUGCCACGGUGAAUACGUUCCCGGGCCUUGUACACACCGCCCGUCACACCAUGGGAGUGGGUUGCAAAAGAAGUAGGUAGCUUAACCUUCGGGAGGGCGCUUACCACUUUGUGAUUCAUGACUGGGGUGAAGUCGUAACAAGGUAACCGUAGGGGAACCUGCGGUUGGAUCACCUCCUUA